GAUGAACGCUGGCGGCGUGCCUAAUACAUGCAAGUCGAGCGAACAGACGAGGAGCUUGCUCCUCUGACGUUAGCGGCGGACGGGUGAGUAACACGUGGAUAACCUACCUAUAAGACUGGGAUAACUUCGGGAAACCGGAGCUAAUACCGGAUAAUAUAUUUAACCGCAUUGUUCAAUAGUGAAAGACGGUUUUGCUGUCACUUAUAGAUGGAUCCGCGCCGCAUUAGCUAGUUGGUAAGGUAACGGCUUACCAAGGCAACGAUGCGUAUCCGACCUGAGAGGGUGAUCGGCCACACUGGAACUGAGACACGGUCCAGACUCCUACGGGAGGCAGCAGUAGGGAAUCUUCCGCAAUGGGCGAAAGCUUGACGGAGCAACGCCGCGUGAGUGAUGAAGGUCUUCGGAUCGUAAAACUCUGUUAUUAGGGAAGAACAAAUGUGUAAGUAACUAUGCACGUCUUGACGGUACCUAAUCAGAAAGCCACGGCUAACUACGUG
rnacentral:rRNA from 1 species